AGGAAGCGAUUCCGGCGGGGGAUGGGCAUGCGGCGCAUUAGCUAGUCGGCGGGGUAACGGCCCACCGAGGCGACGAUGCGUAGGGGUUCUGAGAGGAAGGUCCCCCACACUGGUACUGAGACACGGACCAGACUCCUACGGGAGGCAGCAGUGAGGAAUAUUGGUCAAUGGGCGGGAGCCUGAACCAGCCAAGUCGCGUGAGGGAAGACGGUCCUAUGGAUUGUAAACCUCUUUUGCCGGGGAGCAACGGGGUCCUUGCGAGGGCCUGAUGAGAGUACCCGGAGAAAAAGCAUCGGCUAACUCCGUGCCAGCAGCCGCGGUAAUACGGAGGAUGCGAGCGUUAUCCGGAUUUAUUGGGUUUAAAGGGUGCGUAGGCGGGCUGUUAAGUCAGCGGUCAAAUGUCGGGGCUCAACCCCGGCCUGCCGUUGAAACUGGUGGCCUCGAGUGGGCGAGAAGUAUGCGGAAUGCGUGGUGUAGCGGUGAAAUGCAUAGAUAUCACGCAGAACUCCGAUUGCGAAGGCAGCAUACCGGCGCCCGACUGACGCUGAGGCACGAAAGCGUGGGUAUCGAACAGGAUUAGAUACCCUGGUAGUCCACGCAGUAAACGAUGAAUGCUAGCUGUCCGGGGCUUCGGUCCUGG
rnacentral:rRNA from 1 species